GACGAACGCUGGCGGCGUGCCUAAUACAUGCAAGUAGAACGCUGAAGCGAGGAGCUUGCUCUUCUUGGAUGAGUUGCGAACGGGUGAGUAACGCGUAGGUAACCUGCCUUGUAGCGGGGGAUAACUAUUGGAAACGAUAGCUAAUACCGCAUAACAAUGGAUGACACAUGUCAUUUAUUUGAAAGGGGCAAUUGCUCCACUACAAGAUGGACCUGCGUUGUAUUAGCUAGUAGGUGAGGUAAUGGCUCACCUAGGCGACGAUACAUAGCCGACCUGAGAGGGUGAUCGGCCACACUGGGACUGAGACACGGCCCAGACUCCUACGGGAGGCAGCAGUAGGGAGUCUUCGGCAAUGGGGGCAACCCUGACCGAGCAACGCCGCGUGAGUGAAGAAGGUUUUCGGAUCGGAAAGCUCUGUUGUAAGUCAAGAACGGGUGUGAGAGUGGAAAGUUCACACUGUGACGGUAGCUGACCAGAAAGGGACGGCUAACUACGUG
rnacentral:rRNA from 1 species